UACGUAGGGUGCGAGCGUUAAUCGAAAUUACUGGGCGUAAAGCGUGCGCAGGCGGUUUGCUAAGACCGAUGUGAAAUCCCCGGGCUUAACCUGGGAACUGCAUUGGUGACUGGCAGGCUAGAGUAUGGCAGAGGGGGGUAGAAUUCCACGGUGUAGCAGUGAAAUGCGUAGAGAUGUGGAGGAAUACCGAUGGCGAAGGCAGCCCCCUGGGCCAAUACUGACGCUCAUGCACGAAAGCGUGGGAGCAAACAGG
rnacentral:rRNA from 1 species